rnacentral:rRNA from 1 species
AGUGAACGCCGGCGGCGUGCUUAACACAUGCAAGUCGAACGAGAACGGAAUAUAGCUUGCUAUAUUUGUCAGCUAAGUGGCGCACGGGUGAGUAAUGUAUAGAUAACCUGCCCUUAAGAAAGGAAUAACAGUUGGAAACGACUGCUAAUGCCCUAUAUGCCUUUAAUACAUAAGUAUGCAAGGGAAACGCUUUAGUGCUUAAGGAUGGGUCUGUAUGGUAUCAGCUUGUUGGUGAGGUAAUGGCUCACCAAGGCUAUGACGCCUAACUGGUUUGAGAGGAUGAUCAGUCACACUGGAACUGAGACACGGUCCAGACUCCUACGGGAGGCAGCAGUGGGGAAUAUUGCACAAUGGACGAAAGUCUGAUGCAGCAACGCCGCGUGGAGGAUGACACAUUUCGGUGCGUAAACUCCUUUUAUAUAGGAAGAUAAUGACGGUACUAUAUGAAUAAGCACCGGCUGACUCCGUGCCAGCAGCCGCCGUAAUAC